rnacentral:rRNA from 1 species
UACGUAGGGUCCGAGCGUUGUCCGGAAUUACUGGGCGUAAAGAGCUCGUAGGUGGUUUGUCGCGUUGUUCGUGAAAACUCACAGCUUAACUGUGGGCGUGCGGGCGAUACGGGCAGACUGGAGUACUGCAGGGGAGACUGGAAUUCCUGGUGUAGCGGUGGAAUGCGCAGAUAUCAGGAAGAACACCCGUGGCGAAGGCGGCUCUCUGGGACGGUACUGGACGCUGAGACGCGAAAGCGUGGGGAGCGAACAGG